rnacentral:lncRNA from 9 species
AUGGGUGGCCAACUGCUUCUGUCUGCCAGCAGUCUCGAACUUACUUUGAAUAAGAGUGAUGCACUGAAACCCUUUGAAAUGUAUGACGUGCGCCCUGUUCUUCGUCAUGUUCACCAAAAGUUUAUAAACUUUGUGAUGCUACGUGUUCAAGCCACCCACAUCCUGGACCGAAGGAUUGACUUUGAAUGAAACCAAAACUCCUGUUCAUCGCAAGCCAAAGACCGCGGCCACCUGGAUCCAUUAGGCGCGCUAAUACCUCUGGGGAACGCCACCUGCCAAUCAGGAAAAGCGGGGAAUCUGGAUCCGUCUUCAAACGCUGCUCCUGCCCCCGGCCAGGGCAGAGGGACGCUGGCUGAGGGCAGUGUAAGAGCCGUGGGGACGUGGUCCUGGAUGCACGAGGAAGAGCUGACCGUGCCGCGUUCCACGUCGCUGAGCCCUGCCGCGCGCCUCGUGGGCCGCCUGGGAGCCCUCGGCGCGCUGGGAAGCCGUGGGAAGAAGAGAGGAAGCUGGCGUUGGUCAGGAGCCCGAUUCUAAAAGGACACCCUUUGACUUUUAUACCUUUGGUCUGAGAGUAUGGCGGGAACGAAGAGAAGAAGCGGAGGCAGAAAGGACUGAGCCGGCGGCCUUUGGUAGGUAAGCUCUGUGCGGAGCUCUGUUCUUCCGCAGCCCCAAGCCCGCCUUCCCCGUGGGUGGGACAGCGGUCAUGCUGCCUAAGGUUGAGGGGGCAGGCGUACGGGUACCCGCUAGGACCACGUAGAGACGGUUAGCUCCCUAGGCUGAUGCUGGCAGAGGGGAGGCUGCAGAAACCAGGCGGUUGAAAC